GUGAGGAAUAUUGGUCAAUGGACGGAAGUCUGAACCAGCCAAGUAGCGUGCAGGAUGACGGCCCUAUGGGUUGUAAACUGCUUUUAUGCGGGGGUAAAGUGAGUGACGUGUCAUUCAUUGCAAGUACCGCAAGAAUAAGGACCGGCUAAUUCCGUGCCAGCAGCCGCGGUAAUACGGACGGUCCUGGUGUUAUCCGGAUUUAUUGGGUUUAAAGGGAGCGUAGGCCGUCAGGCAAGCGUGUUGUGAAAUGUCGUGGCUCAAACAUGGACUUGCAGCGCGAACUGCCCGACUUGAGUGCGCGGAAAGCAGGCGGAAUUUGUGGUGUAGCGGUGAAAUGCUUAGAUAUCACGAAGAACCCCGAUUGCGAAGGCAGCCUGCUGUAGCGCUACUGACGCUGAAGCUCGAAAGUGCGGGUAUCGAACAGGAUUAGAAACCCGAGUAGUCC
rnacentral:rRNA from 1 species